rnacentral:rRNA from 1 species
AUUGAUGGAGAUUUUACUGGAAUGUAUUUUCUCUGAAACGUUAGGCCAUAAGAUGAGUCGGUGGCUGAUUAGGUUGUUGGUGAGGUAAAGGCUCACCAAGCCGAAGAUCAGUAGGGGAGAUGAGAGUCUUGGCCUCGAGAAGGACACUGAGAUAAGGGUCCUAGCCCUAAGGGGUACAGCAGCCGCGAAAACUUUACAAUGCACGCAAGUGUGAUAAGGGAAUCCCAAGUGCUUGUCCUUUGGGCAGGCUUUUAUUAAGCGUAAGUAACUUAGUGAAUAAGUGGUGGGCAAGACCGGUGCCAGCCGCCGCGGUAAUCCCGGCGCCACGAGUGGAGAUCACGUUUAUUGGGCCUAAAGCGUCCGUAGCUGAUUUAGUAAGUCUUUUGUGAAAUCGCUAAACUUAAUUUAGCGGACUGCAAAAGAUACUGCUAGGUUAGAGACCGGGAAGAGACAAGAGAAUUCUUUGGGGAGCGGUAAAAUGCUUUAAUCCAAAGAAGACUACCAAUGGCGAAGGCACUUGUCUAGAACGGGUCUGACAGUGAGGGACGAAGGCUAGGGGAGCGAUCGGGAUUAGAUACCCCAGUAGUCCUAGCAGUAAACUCUGCGAACUAGGUGUUGCAUUUUCUCCGAGAAAAUGCAGUGCUGGAGCG